AUGAGUCGGCGAAGGAAACAUGGGGACAGCCCUGGCCUGAAGAACACGCCGCGCAAAGCGGUGGCGGCUGAGGAAUGCAGCUCGAUGGUCGAGCCAGGGAAGAGGCGGCUGAGGUCGGCCCGCGGUUCAGGGCCCCGCAGGGCCGGAGAGACGUCUCCCCGGCCCGUGUCGCAACAAGAGCAGCCUCCAGCAGCCGCUUCGUGCAGUAAAAGUAACCCCGAGGAAAGAUAUGAAACACCAAAGAGAGUGCUGAAAAUGGAUUUAUUGUCAUCUACCUUCAGUUCUCCUAAUGAUCCAGAUGGACAAAAUGAUAUCUUUUGGGAUCAAAAUUCUCCAAUGACAAAACAGUUAGGUAAAGGAAGAAAAAAACAGAUUUACACCACAGAUAGUGAUGAAAUCUCACAUAUUGUUAAUCGUAUUGCUCCUCAGGAUGAAAAACCAACAACAAACUCCAUGCUUGGCAUGUGGAUUGGUGCCACUGCUAUUCCUUGUACUCCUAGUGUAGCAAAAGGAAAAUCAAGAGCAAAAAUAAGCUGCACAAAGUUAAAAACACAAAAUCGAGAGGAAGAACUUAUGAAAUUGGCUAAGCAAUUUGAUAAAAAUAUGGAAGAGUUAGAUGUGAUUCAAGAGCAAAACAAAAGAAAUCAUGAUUUUAUGCAGACAACUGCAGAAGCAGAGACUUUAAGCAAUUAUAAAGAUAAUGUACAAAUGCAGUUAUUACAUGAUAUAGUUCCUGAAAUAGAUAAUUCUAUAAUAAAGAAGCCAAUGAAAGAAAACACCAAAAUGUGUGUGGUAAAUGAUCAAAAUAGCAGUCAGAAGCCAUUUGACCAAAAUGCUGAAGCAGCCUUUAAUGCCAUUUUUGAUGGCUCUACUCAGAAAUGUAGCGGACAGUUCAGCCAAGAUUUGCCAGAUGUUUUUUUGAACACAAGUAAUACCACCUUUGGAAAGAAAAGCGCUUUAAAAGAGGAGAAAAUCAUUAUGAAUGAAAUUCUGGUCCCUGAAAAACUGCCAGAUAAAACCCCAGGAUCACUUUUUUGUCAAGUGGACACUCCUGGAAUGACAAAAUCAUGUGUGACUUCUUAUACUGAGAAGCCAGAAGCUUUUCAUAAACACCUUGAUGCAUUUACUACCAGUGAUUUUGAGGAUGAUUGGGAAAACUUACUAAGUAAUGAACCUUUUGUUAUGCAAAAUGUCAAAAUGUGUGAACUUUUCCCUGCUCCUAGAACAGCCCAGAUUGCUGAUCAAAAGGAAAUUUAUAAUUUUAACAAUAAAAAUGAUAAAAAUAAGUCAAGAAUGAAUACAAGUCUAGAUACCAGGGUAAGGGAUUCAAAAAUUUUACAGGAUCUCCCUUCAAAGACAUAUAACAAGGAAUUAAUAGAUUCUGGAAAAUACGGGUUUUCACUAAAUCCAAAUGAUAAACCAAGCAAAUUACCAUCCACUGGAAAUAAAAUGAAAUUUGAGAAAUCUUUCAGUAAAACUGUUGUUAAAGACAAAAUUCAAGACUGUACAGUUGCGUCUAAUCUGACAAAAGUAAAAGAAGAUAUGCACACUAAAUUUACUUCUAAUGUAAAUAUUUCUGAAAAGUCAACUUUGAACACAGGAUAUUCUAAUGAACAAAAAAAUAAGUUCAUUUAUAAUCAGUCUUUUAAAGCACCUGCUAAUAUAGAUCAUUUUGGCUCUGCAACUUUGGGCAAUAAAACCAGUGUUUAUAAUCCAAAUCAGACUAAUACAUCAAAGUUAGGUUCUUUCUUUGAUGACUGGAAUGAUCCAUCAUUUGCCAAUGAAGUUGUUAAAGCAUGUCAUCAAUUAGAGAAUACCUGGGAAGCAGAUGAUGUAGAUGAUGAUUUAUUAUACCAAGCAUGUGAUGAUAUUGAAAGACUAACUCAGCAACAAGACAUUAGAAAGGACAGUAAGAUAUCAGAAGGUAAACUUGAGAUCAAUAAUAGUUCCAAACAUGGAGCCAAAAACAUGUUUACUACAUCUAAAGAAAGUCGGUUGGUGCAAUCGAAGCAUUUGAAUCUGAGCAGCAUUUCAGGGUAUACAUCUUUCACAAAUAGCUCACAAUUAAAUAAACCAGUGAAGAUGGAAAAAGAAAUUUGUGGAAAUUCUCCAAGCUUUUUAGGUGCUACGACUAAUUUAACAAUAUACUCUAAGAACUCAAAUUGUCAGAUCAAUAAUCUACAUUAUUCCUGGAAUAAUACUGAUGUUCCAAUACAAGUGAAUAGUACUGAAUCGGUUCUUACAGGAACUUCAAGUUUGAAUGUGAGUUCAGAUCAUAGGAAUACAGAAACUGCUAUUUAUAAGAAGAAAUUAAGUACUCAGCAUCUAUCCCAUAGGAACAUAACAGAUGGAGCUAAGAGUGACCUUAACAGACCAGUUAGAUUUCCUAAGUAUACAUUUACAAAGAUGAAAAAUUCUCAGAUUCUUUCCCAGUUCAAUCAAAAUUGUAUACCAGCAAGUAUUUCUGAUACCAAAAUUACACAGGGUUUGGAGAAAAAUAAAACUGUCAACCCAUUUUGUGGGAAGACUGUUCAACAGCAAUCUUUGGUGAAACGUUCUGAAUCUAUGGAACAACCUUCAAAAGAGGAAGAAGAGAAAAAUAAAAAGUAUUCUCCUGAAGAAAUUCAAAGAAAAAGACAAGCAGCACUGGUUCGAAGAAUGGCCAAAGCACAGGCAUCAUCUGUAAAGGCAGCUCCCACUUAACUUGAUUUCUUUUAUGAAAUAUUAGUUGGAAGACAUAACAAAGACAGUUAAUAGCUAUCUGUGAUAGGAAAUAUUUUUUCUUGAUUUCUCUGUGAGAAAUUUAAUGCUGACUUAUAAAGCAUGGACUUCUUUUUUUUAUGGACUUAUAUUUUAUUUAAUAAAUCAAUGUUUGCAAUUCAUUGAAACCUUUCCUUGGAGAGCCAAGACGAAAUAAUGAGGACAGCAUGUACACUUCUUGCUGAAAGAACCAAAUAAACUGCCUGGAAAAGUGGAUUUCAAGACAACCUGGGAAUGAGGAAACAAACAAAUGGGAGCCCUACCAUUUUCCCAGCUUACUGCCUUGAGGGAGUUUCCAGACCAUGAUGCAAGGAAGAAUUGAGGAACAGCCCAGGAGACAUCAUGAGUGAGAAAAUGGAGCUGAGACACUAGGGAGACUAAGGUAGCUAGAGUUCACAGGACAGAGUACCUGUGAGAAGACUGAACUCCAGAGAUCUGCAGAUGAUCCCUUUUGAUAAUUAAACUCAGUACUGAUUAGCACAUAUAUGUGAGGAAAUGGAGGCUGGAGAAAGAGACAUCCGAUGGGAUUAAGAGAGAGCAGAGUCCAGUGCUCAAGCAUCUAGUAAUAAUGCCAGUUCUUACCAACCAAGGUCACUGGGUAGUUACUUGCCUGAGUAGUAGGGAAUGAUUUGCCCUAGGUUGCACUGCUCUGGGCCCACCCAACAAAUCACAAAAGCAAGGUCAAAAAGGAUCAAACCAUUCCCACAGAACUGCAUGCUAGAACAAAGUGUAAAAAUACUUACAGAAAAACAAAAAUGCCCAGUACCUAUGAGAUAACAUUAACAAUGACUGCCCUCUAAUUAAAGAUAACUAGGCACUCAAAGAAGCAAAAACACAACCUAAGAAGGAUCAAUUGAAACCUGUAUCUGAUAUAGAUGUUAAAACUAAUGUGAGGAUAUUAAAAUAGCUACAGUUAUUAAAUGUGUUCAAAAAAGUUAAGUAGAAACGGGAUAUUAAAAAGACUAAACUCAAACUUUUAGAGAUGAAAGCUAAAAUGUCUGAGGUGAAAAUACAUCAUAUAGGAUUAAUGGCAAUUCACACAUUGUAGAAGAUUAGUAUUUAGUGAACUUGACAUAUCAAUAGGGAUUAUUCAAAAUGAAAAAAAAUUUAAGGAGAAGAACAGUGAGUUGUGGAACAAUUUCAAGUAGCCUAAUGUAUGGUUAGAGUCUCUGAAGGAGGAAGUGGGGGGAGAGUAUACAGGAUAUUUGAAAUAAUGACCUAACAAUUUUCAGACCUUAUGGAAACUACUAACCCACAAAUCCAAGAAAUUCAAUGAACUCCAAGCACAAGAGAUAUUAAGAAAACUAUGAAGCCACAUCAUAGCCAGUAUAAAAUCAUGAAAGCAAUAAAAAAGAACAAAGGGACAAAGAUGAAUAUAACAGAAUUUUCAUCAGAAACAAUCUGAGAAGACAAUGGAGAAACAUCUUUAAAGCACUGAAAGGAAAAAACCUAUCUAGAAUUCUAUACCCGGCAAAAUGUCUUUCAAAGGCAAACAUGAGAAAAAGUUGCUUUCAGACAUUUAAAAUCUGAAAGAAUUCAUCACUGGCACUACAAGAAAUACUAAAGGAUGUCUUCCAAGCAGAAAAUGGUAUUAAAUGAAAAUAUGGGUUUACAUGAGGGAAUGAUGAGCACUGGAAAUGAUAAACAACAUGGGUUAAUAUAUGAGUUUUAAAAAUUAUUUAAAUCCUUUAAAAGAUAAUUGACUACUCAUACAAACAUAACAAUGUUGUGGGGUUUAUAACAUAAAAGUUAAACAUGGCAAUAGCAUAAAGGCCAGUAGGAAAAAAAAAGUAUGAAAGUAGAUAGUCCUAGUCUUGCACAUUUUGGCAUGCAUGGGUUUCAGUUACAUAACACCAGUUUCCUAACAACGUAGUUCAGAUUUCUGUUAACACAGUAUAUUAAACUGUGAAUACUUGCAUAAAGUACAAACUUUAUAGUUAUCUCAGUCCACAAAUCACUACAUAAAUAACAUGUGGAUUAUGAUGCAUGAUCAAUCAUGUCAUUUGUGACAACCGCCCAGGGAACAUUAUUCCCAGUUCAGAGCUAAGGAUAUAGGGGUUUAGUUUUUCUAUCCUGAGCUAUACCCUGUUUUAAGACCAGUUCAGGCUGACUCUAUAUAUCUCCUGAUCUUUCCACAGUAAACCAUUAUGCUCAUGGAACCCAACAUGGGGCUUGAACUCAUAACCCUGAGAUUGAGAACUAAGCCAAGAUCAAGAGUUGGGUGCUUAACUGACUGAGCCACCCAGGCACCUCCCCAUUAUUUGUAAAUUCAUCCAUUCUUUUGCUGUGAUUGGUUUAUGGUGUUACAUAGGGCUUCUUCUUUUUGUUUUGUUUUUAAUACAAUUGGACUUACAUUAAAUAAAUGAAAAUUUUAAAUGUUUAAUAGAAAACAUGUCCUUUGGUAUGAAGGAUUUAGUAGUAUAUUCUAAAUGCAAAUAUAGAAAACAUUGUUUAAAUGCUGAAGAGCUCCUGUUCCACUUUUUUUUUUUUAAGCUUUUAUUUAUUUAUUUGAGAGAGAGG